rnacentral:lncRNA from 1 species
CCUCAAACUCUCUGCUGGGUCUUCACCCCUAGGAUGAAGUCCAACCAGAUGCAGUUGUUCGAGAUGCCUGUGACUACACCAGGGCUUCCAUGAAACUAAAGGAUGAUGCGUGGACUCUGAGAAGUGACAGGUGCCACUUUCAGGCCUAGGAGGACUUCUCCUGGUGGGCAUCCGGCAACUUCGGCACAGUGUGGACGGGGAGGCAGACACGGUGGUGGCCUUGCAAGCUGCCUGAGGCAGGGCCUCCUCUAGCCUGGGUCUCCUGAACGGCCGCAGAGACAAAUGUCUUGCUCAGCAGCACGAAUACCUCCUAUCACCUGUGAGAAGGAUGAGGAAUAAUACUAUUAUAUUGGAGUCAAUGCAUAUGUUAGCUCUAUGCCCAACAUAG